UUUUAUUUCACUAGGUGAAUAUCAGCAAGGAUAUGAGAUUGGAUAGAUAUCUUUGCCAAUGUCCAGCCAGGAUACCUGCUCACCAUUUCUUAGCCACCAAAGAGAAUCCUUGAAAUUAGCCACUAUUCAUCUGCAAAAACUAGGUUCUGUCUCCUCAUUACUUUCUCAACCAUCUGCCUACAAUCAUUCUUGAGGAGAACAGGAGUAUACUGAAGAAACUUUGCCUCCUUCUAGG
rnacentral:lncRNA from 1 species